rnacentral:rRNA from 1 species
GAUCCUGGCUUAGGAUGAACGCUAGCGGCAGGCUUAACACAUGCAAGUCGAGGGGCAACGCGAGUAGCAAUACUUGGCGGCGACCGGCGCAAGGGUGCGUAACGCGUGAGCAACAUGCCCGUAUCAGGGGGAUAAUCCAGGGAAACUUGGUCUAAUACCCCAUAGUAAUUUUGUAAGGCAUCUUAUAAGAUUUAAAGCUUUGGUGGAUACGGAUUGGCUCGCGUGACAUUAGCUGGAUGGUAAGGUAACGGCUUACCAUGGCUAUGAUGUCUAGGGGUUCUGAGAGGAAGGUCCCCCACACUGGAACUGAGACACGGUCCAGACUCCUACGGGAGGCAGCAGUGAGGAAUAUUGGACAAUGGAUGGAAAUCUGAUCCAGCCAUGCCGCGUGAAGGAAGAAAGGUCCUAUGGAUUGUAAACUUCUUUUGUAUGGGAGCAAUAAGGCCUACGAGUAGGUUGAUGAGAGUACCAUACGAAUAAGCACCGGCUAACUCCGUGCCAGCAGCUGC